GAUGAACGCUGGCGGCGUGCCUAAUACAUGCAAGUCGAGCGAAUGGAUUAAGAGCUUGCUCUUAUGAAGUUAGCGGCGGACGGGUGAGUAACACGUGGGUAACCUGCCCAUAAGACUGGGAUAACUCCGGGAAACCGGGGCUAAUACCGGAUAACAUUUUGAACCGCAUGGUUCGAAAUUGAAAGUCGGAUUUGGCUGUCACUUAUGGAUGGGCCCGCGUCGCAUUAGCAAGUUGGUGAGGUAACGGCUCACCAAGGCAACGAUGCGUAGCCGACCUGAGAGGGUGAUCGGCCACACUGGGACUGAGACACGGCCCAGACUCCUACGGGAGGCAGCAGUAGGGAAUCUUCCGCAAUGGACGAAAGUCUGACGGAGCAACGCCGCGUGAGUGACGAAGGCUUUCGGGUCGUAAAACUCUGUUGUUAGGGAAGAACAAGUGCUAGUUGAAUAAGCUGGCACCUUGACGGUACCUAACCAGAAAGCCACGGCUAACUACGUGCCAGCAGCCGCCGUAA
rnacentral:rRNA from 1 species